CAAAACAGAGUGUCACACCCUCACAAAAGUUCAAACUCAUACUACAAUGACCUCUUCUGAAAGCAACCCUUAGUGAGGCCUAUAAAAAAAAACACAAAAAAAAAACCAUGAGCUGCCUUGCUUGUCCCAGCAGGUCUGGGAAUCUAAGGUUUAUUUAUGAAAAGAAAAAAAAGAAAAAACUAAUGGACAACCACAGGCCCACCCACUUACAAUGUUAAGCUAAUACCCACUGCACUUUUUUACAGUUAAUCAUUUUCUGAUUGCUGAAACAAGC